CCCAGGUGACUGCAGCUCCCUGAUUCACAACAAACCUGCCACUCCACCUUGUUUACUAAUGACUCUGCUGUUUGAAGCACAUGACAUGCAUUGUAUCAUUUGUUCUGAGAACAAUCCUUUAAAAGGUUAUUCUCUCACUUCUCCUUUGUUGCUGCUGAUAUUGAGGGAGCUCACUAUCUCAUUUUAAAAGCCAUUGUGCUUUUGAAGAUUUCAGAUACACACACACAC